rnacentral:rRNA from 1 species
UACGUAGGGUGCAAGCGUUAAUCGGAAUUACUGGGCGUAAAGCGUGCGCAGGCGGUGAUGUAAGACAGUUGUGAAAUCCCCGGGCUCAACCUGGGAACUGCAUCUGUGAUGCAUCGCUGGAGUGCGGCAGAGGGGGAUGGAAUUCCGCGUGUAGCAGUGAAAUGCGUAGAUAUGCGGAGGAACACCGAUGGCGAAGGCAAUCCCCUGGGCCUGCACUGACGCUCAUGCACGAAAGCGUGGGGAGCAAACAGGA